GAUGAACGCUGGCGGCGUGCUUAACACAUGCAAGUCGAACGGAAAGGCUCCUGCUUGCAGGGGUACUCGAGUGGCGAACGGGUGAGUAACACGUGGGUGAUCUGCCCUGCACUUCGGGAUAAGCCUGGGAAACCGGGUCUAAUACCGGAUAGGACCACAUUUUGGAUGGUGUGGUGGAAAGUUUUUCGGUGUGGGAUGAGCUCGCGGCCUAUCAGCUUGUUGGUGGGGUAAUGGCCUACCAAGGCGUCGACGGGUAGCCGGCCUGAGAGGGUGUACGGCCACAUUGGGACUGAGAUACGGCCCAGACUCCUACGGGAGGCAGCAGUGGGGAAUAUUGCACAAUGGGCGCAAGCCUGAUGCAGCGACGCCGCGUGGGGGAUGACGGCCUUCGGGUUGUAAACUCCUUUCGCUAGGGACGAAGCGUUUUUGUGACGGUACCUGGAGAAGAAGCACCGGCUAACUACGUG
rnacentral:rRNA from 1 species